rnacentral:lncRNA from 1 species
GUCACGUAAUGGGCUAGCUCCAGAGAUGAAGGGCCCAUCUUCUCUGGGUAGCUCUGGUUGAUUUUACUACAUUUUACUAUUGUAACUGAGUUGAAAGCUCCAAGAUGGGAUGAAGAUAUUUCGUAGGUUGAGAGAAAGAAUUCUUCAACUAGACGGAUAAUGGCUGUGAUCGCCGAAAGGACGGCUGGACAUGGGUUCGCCACCGAAGAAUUGAGAUGGUCGACAAGAAAUUUACAAGAGGAUUCCUCAACCACCGAAGACUGCCCGCCGAAGAUUCGUCAUCAAAGUCGCGAACGGAGAUUUAUCCGCCCUCGAAGAAUUUCCAUUGGACAUCGUCUGUAACCGAUGGAGAAGUUUGGAGAGGAUUAUCGGACCUUAUGGAGGAUUCAAGCACCCCAAGAUGCCAAUGAUCGCUAAUUGUGACACCAGGAAAAUUUCUGUUAAAACUGGAGAUGGUCCAACCAGUAUUGAAAAAAGCUAGCCUGGGCAUUAGGGAUCAUCACUGGAGUUGCAGGAGUUUGCCAUGUAGGAGAUGAGUCACCAGCAAGAAUGGGCGUCUGUUAAGGAUGGAUGUCGCCGGACAACGGGAAUUGGCAGUAUCACACAAAAAAUAAGGUAUAAACGAUAUAUUGCACAUGUAUAACGACAUUUUUUUAUGUUAAGAAGGAUUUUCGGAGCUUUUGGAGGAUCUAAACACCCUGAGGAUCCCAAGAAUUGCUGACGGUGACCAGGUUAAAUUAUAUUAAAACGGGGGAAGUCUCACCCAGUAUUGAAAAUAACAAAACAAUGCUGGGCAUUGGGAGUUACCGUUGGAGACCGUCAUCUAGGGUUAUGAUCUUUCAACGAGAGUUGACGCCAGACAACCGAGAGUCGACGCCAGACAACCGAGAGUCGACGCCAGACAACCGAGAGUCGACGCCAGACAACCGAGAGUCGACGCCAGACAACCGAGAGUCGACGCCAGACAACCGAGAGUCGACGCCAGAGAAGACACUGAAGAAAUCAAGAUGAUGGUAGAUUUACUGCUUUUGGGUCAGUGACAGUGAGUGAAGAAGGAGUAGGCUACCGCGCUACCCCGCUGUUAACCUGUUAAUCCCUUUUGGUAAAUAAAAUGAAGUUUGUAAACAUCUUGUAAAUCUGUUUUCAACAUAGUCUCAAUGCAUGUCACGUCAAAUUCAACUUUGUGUAAAGACUUACCAGAAUAACAGUGACAUAGAAUGAAAUAGGAAUUGGGGAUCAUAAAAUUGGAGGGGAAAUUGUUGAACAUUUGUUUUUACAUCAUUGACGUUAUGUAUGUACCAGGAGGGAAAUACAGUUUUGCUAGCCACCUGGACUAGUGCACUUUUGCCUCAGCCCACUUGCCUUACAGAACAAGCAAUUGGAAUCUUCCAUUCUGCAUAUUGUGCAUAAUGGAAUGUUCGUCAUUGAUGUUCAACAUGCUGAGGUCUUAUUACAUCUAGUGCAACAUCAAUAAGAAAAGGUUAGUUCAGCGUGCCAUGACAAUUCCAUUUUUUUGAGUUGACCAACUUGCCAAUUAUGUUAUAUUCGUUAUGUGUUAUAUGCGUUAUAUGCCAGCACGUCAUAUUCGUUAUCCACGCAGGUGUUUUUAUUAAUGAAAACUUUAGAAUUAGAAGUUCUGUGCUAAUCGGGUGGAUGUUUCUCGAUUGGUGAAACAUGUUGGUUGUCGUGUGCCAUUUGUUGUUUAUGUACAAACUGUUUUUGUGAAUAUUAUGAUUGGUUGGUUUUGUUUGUUUAUGUAUGUUCGUUUGUAAAUGACGUCAAAAAUUUUUUCCUAAUUGAGGAACGAUGAAAGUUAAGGUUAGGAAAAGAAUGAAAUACAUUUACCAGAUGAAAUUAG